GAUGAACGCUAGCGGGAGGCCUAACACAUGCAAGCCGAGCGGUAGAAGAUCUUCGGAUCUUUGAGAGCGGCGCACGGGUGCGGAACACGUGUGCAACCUGCCUUUAUCUGGGGGAUAGCCUUUCGAAAGGAAGAUUAAUACCCCAUAAUAUAUUAGAUGGCAUCAUUUAAUAUUGAAAACUCCGGUGGAUAGAGAUGGGC
rnacentral:rRNA from 1 species